NNNNNNNNNNNNNNAUCCAGAGAUUUCCGAAUGGGGGAACCCAACAUGAGUUAUGUCAUGUUAUCGACAUGUGAAUUCAUAGCAUGUCAGAAGGCAGACCCGGAGAACUGAAACAUCUUAGUACCCGGAGGAAGAGAAAGAAAAAUCGAUUCCCUGAGUAGCGGCGAGCGAAACGGGAAGAGCCCAAACCAACAAGCUUGCUUGUUGGGGUUGUAGGACACUCUAUACGGAGUUACAAAAGAACAUGUUAGACGAAUCAUCUGGAAAGAUGAAUCAAAGAAGGUAAUAAUCCUGUAGUCGAAAACAUAUUCUCUCUUGAGUGGAUCCUGAGUACGACGGAGCACGUGAAAUUCCGUCGGAAUCUAGGAGGACCAUCUCCUAAGGCUAAAUACUCUCUAGUGACCGAUAGUGAACCAGUACCGUGAGGGAAAGGUGAAAAGUACCCCGGAAGGGGAGUGAAAGAGAACUUGAAACCGUGUGCUUACAAGUAGUCAGAGCCCGUUUAUGGGUGAUGGCGUGCCUUUUGUAGAAUGAACCGGCGAGUUACGAUCUGAUGCAAGGUUAAGCAGCGAAUGUGGAGCCGUAGCGAAAGCGAGUCUGAAUAGGGCGUUGAGUAUUUGGUCGUAGACCCGAAACCAGGUGAUCUACCCUUGGUCAGGUUGAAGUUCAGGUAACACUGAAUGGAGGACCGAACCGACUUACGUUGAAAAGUGAGCGGAUGAACUGAGGGUAGCGGAGAAAUUCCAAUCGAACUUGGAGAUAGCUGGUUCUCUCCGAAAUAGCUUUAGGGCUAGCCUCAAGUGAUGAUUAUUGGAGGUAGAGCACUGUUUGGACGAGGGGCCCCUCUCGGGUUACCGAAUUCAGACAAACUCCGAAUGCCAAUCAAUUUAACUUGGGAGUCAGAACAUGGGUGAUAAGGUCCGUGUUCGAAAGGGAAACAGCCCAGACCACCAGCUAAGGUCCCAAAAUAUAUGUUAAGUGGAAAAGGAUGUGGCGUUGCCCAGACAACUAGGAUGUUGGCUUAGAAGCAGCCAUCAUUUAAAGAGUGCGUAAUAGCUCACUAGUCGAGUGACACUGCGCCGAAAAUGUACCGGGGCUAAACAUAUUACCGAAGCUGUGGAUUGUCCUUCGGACAAUGGUAGGAGAGCGUUCUAAGGGCGUUGAAGCAUGAUCGCAAGGACAUGUGGAGCGCUUAGAAGUGAGAAUGCCGGUGUGAGUAGCGAAAGACGGGUGAGAAUCCCGUCCACCGAUUGACUAAGGUUUCCAGAGGAAGGCUCGUCCGCUCUGGGUUAGUCGGGUCCUAAGCUGAGGCCGACAGGCGUAGGCGAUGGAUAACAGGUUGAUAUUCCUGUACCACCUAGUAUCGUUUUAAUCGAUGGGGGGACGCAGUAGGAUAGGCGAAGCGUGCUGUUGGAGUGCACGUCCAAGCAGUAAGGCUGAGUGUUAGGCAAAUCCGGCACUCGUUAGGCUGAGCUGUGAUGGGGAGAGGAAAUUGUUUCCUCGAGUCGUUGAUUUCACACUGCCGAGAAAAGCCUCUAGAUAGAUAACAGGUGCCCGUACCGCAAACCGACACAGGUAGUCAAGAUGAGAAUUCUAAGGUGAGCGAGCGAACUCUCGUUAAGGAACUCGGCAAAAUGACCCCGUAACUUCGGGAGAAGGGGUGCUCUUUAGGGUUCACGCCCAGAAGAGCCGCAGUGAAUAGGCCCAAGCGACUGUUUAUCAAAAACACAGGUCUCUGCUAAACCGUAAGGUGAUGUAUAGGGGCUGACGCCUGCCCGGUGCUGGAAGGUUAAGAGGAGUGGUUAGCUUCUGCGAAGCCACGAAUCGAAGCCCCAGUAAACGGCGGCCGUAACUAUAACGGUCCUAAGGUAGCGAAAUUCCUUGUCGGGUAAGUUCCGACCCGCACGAAAGGCGUAACGAUUUGGGCACUGUCUCAACGAGAGACUCGGUGAAAUCAUAGUACCUGUGAAGAUGCAGGUUACCCGCGACAGGACGGAAAGACCCCGUGGAGCUUUACUGUAGCCUGAUAUUGAAAUUCGGCACAGCUUGUACAGGAUAGGUAGGAGCCAUUGAAACGUGAGCGCUAGCUUACGUGGAGGCGUUGGUGGGAUACUACCCUAGCUGUGUUGGCUUUCUAACCCGCACCACUUAUCGUGGUGGGAGACAGUGUCAGGCGGGCAGUUUGACUGGGGCGGUCGCCUCCUAAAAGGUAACGGAGGCGCUCAAAGGUUCCCUCAGAAUGGUUGGAAAUCAUUCACAGAGUGUAAAGGCAUAAGGGAGCUUGACUGCGAGACCUACAAGUCGAGCAGGGUCGAAAGACGGACUUAGUGAUCCGGUGGUUCCGCAUGGAAGGGCCAUCGCUCAACGGAUAAAAGCUACCCCGGGGAUAACAGGCUUAUCUCCCCCAAGAGUUCACAUCGACGGGGAGGUUUGGCACCUCGAUGUCGGCUCAUCGCAUCCUGGGGCUGUAGUCGGUCCCAAGGGUUGGGCUGUUCGCCCAUUAAAGCGGUACGCGAGCUGGGUUCAGAACGUCGUGAGACAGUUCGGUCCCUAUCCGUCGUGGGCGUAGGAAAUUUGAGAGGAGCUGUCCUUAGUACGAGAGGACCGGGAUGGACAUACCUCUGGUGUACCAGUUGUCGUGCCAACGGCAUAGCUGGGUAGCUAUGUAUGGACGGGAUAAGUGCUGAAAGCAUCUAAGCAUGAAGCCCCCCUCAAGAUGAGAUUUCCCAACUUCGGUUAUAAGAUCCCUCGAAGAUGACGAGGUUAAUAGGUUCGAGGUGGAAGCGUGGUGACACGUGGAGCUGACGAAUACUAAUCGAUCGAAGACUUAAUCAA
rnacentral:rRNA from 1 species